CUUCGAUUAAGGUUCGACUCGAGCGGAAGCGAGAGAACGUUGCCAACGGCAACGGCCCGAAGGGCGCGACGCGCCGAGUCAUCCUUCCCCUACCAUAA
rnacentral:sRNA from 2 species